GUGAGAGGUAAAAUUUCAGUAGUGUGUGUGAGAGCGUUUCAGUAGUGUGUGUGAGAGCGUUUCAGUAGUGUGUGUGAGAGAUAAAAUUUCAGUAGUGUGUGUGAGAGCGUUUCAGUAGUGUGUGUGAGAGCGUUUCAGUAGUGUGUGUGAGAGGUAAAAUUUCAGUAGUGUGUGUGAGAGCGUUUCAGUAGUGUGUGUGAGAGGUAAAAUUUCAGUAGUGUGUGUGAGAGCGUUUCAGUUGUGUGUGUGAGAGGUAAAAUUUCAGUAGUGUGUGUGAGAGCGUUUCAGUAGUGUGUGUGAGAGCGUUUCAGUUGUGUGUGUGAGAGGUAAAAUUUCAGUAGUGUGUGUGAGAGCGUUUCAGUAGUGUGUGUGAGAGCGUUUCAGUAGUGUGUGUGAGAGCGUUUCAGUUGUGUGUGUGAGAGGUAAAAUUUCAGUAGUGUGUGUGAGAGCGUUUCAGUAGUGUGUGUGAGAGCGUUUCAGUAGUGUGUGUGAGAGGUAAAAUUUCAGUAGUGUGUGUGAGAGGUAAAAUUUCAGUAGUGUGUGUGAGAGCGUUUCAGUAGUGUGUGUGAGAGCG
ensembl:lncRNA